rnacentral:rRNA from 1 species
UGGGAACGUGCCUUUUGGUUCGGAACAACUCAGGGAAACUUGAGCUAAUACCGGAUAAGCCCUUCGGGGGAAAGAUUUAUCGCCAUUAGAGCGGCCCGCGUCUGAUUAGCUAGUUGGUGAGGUAAAGGCUCACCGAGGCUUCGAUCAGUAGCUGGUCUGAGAGGAUGAUCAGCCACACUGGGACUGAGACACGGCCCAGACUCCUACGGGAGGCAG